rnacentral:lncRNA from 1 species
GGACAGGAUAGAAGCCCAUCUACUUAGCAUCAUUGUAGUGAUGAAUUUCAAAUACAUACUUACCACUGUGCUCUCUAUCACAUCCACUUCAUGCAGUUUCCAGUGAUCUGCAGUCCCAACUGUUCCCUGGGCCUCAACCUCUUGCUUAAAAAAGAAACCCAGAUAGGUCUCCUAAUGGACUGUCCCAGCCUUCCAAGAUGGGCUUUUGGAGUUGGAUCACAUACUUCUGUGAAGGCAUUAAGGGCCACAUUGCCGGCGGUCAGGAACCCACACCACUCGUCUAUUGGUUGUCACACUGUGGUGGUUGUGUGUUGCUGUGUUGCUGAAAGCUAUGCCACUGUUAUUUCAAAGACCAGCGGGG